rnacentral:rRNA from 1 species
GACGAACGCUGGCGGCGUGCUUAACACAUGCCAGUCGAACGGAAAGGCCCUGCUUUUGUGGGGUGCUCGAGUGGCGAACGGGUGAGUAACACGUGAGUAACCUGCCCUUGACUUUGGGAUAACUUCAGGAAACUGGGGCUAAUACCGGAUAGGAGCUCCUGCUGCAUGGUGGGGGUUGGAAAGUUUCGGCGGUUGGGGAUGGACUCGCGGCUUAUCAGCUUGUUGGUGGGGUAGUGGCUUACCAAGGCUUUGACGGGUAGCCGGCCGGAGAGGGUGACCGGACAAAUUGGGACUGAGAUACGGCCCAGACUCCUACGGGAGGCAGCAGUGGGGAAUAUUGCACAAUGGGCGGAAGCCUGAUGCAGCAACGCCGCGUGCGGGAUGACGGCCUUCGGGUUGUAAACCGCUUUCGCCUGUGACGAAGCGUGAGUGACGGUAAUGGGUAAAGAAGCACCGGCUAACUACGUG